rnacentral:lncRNA from 1 species
CUCAUUGUUAGGUUGUGUGGACACUCAGGCAGCCCUCUGGAGAGAUCCACGUGGCAAGGAGCAAAGGGUUCCUGUCAACAACCAACAUUAACUUGCCAGGCAUGUGGGUGAGCCACUUGGAAUGGGAUCCUUCAGCCUCAGUCAAGAUAUCAGGAUUGGCCUCGAAGUCCUUCGACGUCCCUUCCAGCUCUCUAACAUUCCAUGAUUCGGUGACUAGAUCACCUUUGCAGCCGUGUUAACUGGGUUCGCAAGCGAGCUUCCUCGGUUCAGCAGAAAUUUCUUCCUAAGCUUCCCGCAGCCACCGGAGGCCGACAUCACGCGCCAGUCAGCGCCG